AGAGAGGUAAAGAGAGAGGGAAAGAGAGAGGUAAAGAGAGAGGGAAAGAGAGAGGGAAAGAGAGAGGGAAAGAGAGAGGGUAAGAGAGAGGUAAAGAGAGAGGGAAAGAGAAAGGUAAAGAGAGAGUGUAAGAGAGAGGUAAAGAGAGAGGGAAAGAGAGAGGGAAAGAGAGAGGGAAAGAGAGAGGUAAAGAGAGAGGGUAAGAGAGAGGUAAAGAGAGAGGGAAAGAGAAAGGUAAAGAGAGAGUGUAAGAGAGAGGUAAAGAGAGAGGGAAAGAGAGAGGGAAAGAGAGAGGUAAAGAGAGAUGGUAAGAGAGAGGUAAAUAGAGAGGGAAAGAGAGGGUAAGAGAGAGGGAAAGAGAGAGGGAAAGAGAUAUGGAAAGAGAGAGGGAAAGUUAGAGGGAUCGAGAGAGGUAAAGAGAGAGGGUAAGAGAGAGGGUAAGAGAGAGGGAAAGAGAGAGGGAUAGAGAGAGGGAAAGAGAGAGUGAGAGAGAGGGAAAGAGAUAGGGAAAGAGACAGGGAUAGUGAGAGGGAAAGUGAGAGGUAAAUAGAGGGAAAGAGAGAGGGAUAGAGAGAGUGAAAGAGAGAGGGAUAG